GACGAACGCUGGCGGCGUGCUUAACACAUGCAAGUCGAACGGAAAGGCCCUGCUUUUGUGGGGUGCUCGAGUGGCGAACGGGUGAGUAACACGUGAGUAACCUGCCCUUGACUUUGGGAUAACUUCAGGAAACUGGGGCUAAUACCGGAUAGGAGCUCCUGCUGCAUGGUGGGGGUUGGAAAGUUUCGGCGGUUGGGGAUGGACUCGCGGCUUAUCAGCUUGUUGGUGGGGUAGUGGCUUACCAAGGCUUUGACGGGUAGCCGGCCUGAGAGGGUGACCGGCCACAUUGGGACUGAGAUACGGCCCAGACUCCUACGGGAGGCAGCAGUCGGGAAUAUUGCACAAUGGGCGGAAGCCUGAUGCAGCAACGCCGCGUGCGGGAUGACGGCCUUCGGGUUGUAAACCGCUUUCGCAUGUGACGAAGCGUGAGUGACGGUAAUGGGUAAAGAAGCACCGGCUAACUACGUG
rnacentral:rRNA from 1 species